GGCACCAACGCGCGCAGCAAGCGCGCCAUCGCGCGGCACCAUCGCGCGCAGCAAGCGCCCCCGCGCGCGGCACCAUCGCGCGCAGGCAGCGCGAUCGCGCGCGGCACCAUCUCCCGCAGCCAGCGCGAUAGCGAGGGGCACCAUGGCGCGGUGCAAGCGCGCCAUCGCGCGGCACAAUCGCGCGCAGCAAGCGCACCAGCGCGCGGCACCAUCGCGCGCAGUUAGCGAGAUUGCUGGCGGCACCAUCGAGCGCACCAAGCGCCCCAGCGCGCGGCACCAUCGCGCGCAGCAAGCGCCCCAGCGCGCGGCACCAUCUCCCGCAGCCAUCGCGAUAGCGAGGGGCACCAUGGCGCGCAGCAAGCGCGCCAUCGUGCGGCACAAUCGCGCGCAGCAAGCGCACCAGCGCGCGGCACCAUCGCGCUUAGUUAGCGAGAUUGCUCGCGGCACCAUCGCGCGCACCAAGCGCCCCAGCGCGCGGCACCAUCGCGCGCAGGCAGCGCGAUCGCGCGGCAAGGCAGCCAACGAUCUUGCGCGAGGCUGCGCACGCUGGCGCGCGAGGUUGCCCACCUCGCGCGGCAAGGCAGCCAACUCUCGCGCGGCGAGGCUGCCCACGCUCGCGCGGCAAGGCUGCGCACUCUGGCGCGCGAGGCUGCCCACGCUCGCGCGGCAAGGCUGCGCACUCUGGCGCGCGAGGCUGCCCACCCUCGCGCGGCAAGGCAGCCAACCCUGGCCCGCGAGGCUGCCCAUUUCCGAGUAAGGCAUGCUUCACCCACUCGCGAGGAAGGCAGCGCGAACUCGUGCGGGAUGUAGCCCAGCCGCGUGCCCGCAGCGCACGCUCGCGGGGAAGGAUACGAGCGCGCGCGCGCGCGGCAUGCACCUGGCACUCGCGCGGCAAACUGCCUAAGCUCGAGAGGCAUGCAGCGCGCGGCCGCUCGCAAGGCAAACUGCCGACGCUCGAGCGAGGCAAGGCAGCGGGCGCUCGCCACCAAGGCACGCAGCCCACGCUCGAGCGAGGCAAGGCUUGCGCGCGGCAUGCAGCCCCCACUCGCGCGGCAAGCAGCGCAGGCUCGCGAGGCAAGCUGCCCACGAUCGCGGGGCAGGCCGCGCUCGCCGUGGCUGGGGCGGGUGGCCUCCUUCCGCGCGGGAAGUGGCCAUGUCCCUUCCGGCGCUGCUACCGCUGUUCCAUGGGGGCCGGAUGCUGCAAUUAGCCUCCUUCAUGCGAGAAACCACCAUGGGCAGCGGACAAGCGGCCGACGUGCUUUGAAGGCCUAGAUUUUUUGCGCGGACGCAGAACACGAGAUGGCGGGCUUAGGGAACAAUUUUUUGGCCGCUGGAAAACAGUUUUAAAAAUCGUCCAAAAUGGAGAAACCGGGACACAAAAAAACUCGUAAGAUAUGCAAACGGCACCGGAAUGGGCUGAAAUUUUAGGAGGCGCCGUAUAUCGACCUGAAUUAUCUGAUGGGACCAAAAAGUGGUGGAAAUUAUGCCGGAGCUCGGGGUCCCAAAUUUUGGGCAAAAAUGGCCAAAAACCGUGGCCAUUUUGAGCACACGGAUUUUGCCCAAAUUUCGCGUUUUCGGGGCGGCAGGGGAUUUUGGGCCGGCAUUGUCGAUGUUGGUGGGAGUUAGCCACAGGAGAAAACGGAAGCCAAUUUCUCCUUUGUGCCAGCCACUUAGAUUUUGCCGAGAGUUUAGCCUCAUAAAAAAACACAAGUCCGCUCCGGCCUGAGUUAGCCUCCUUUCGGAGCCAUCACACAAGUCUUUGUGCCAGAGUUAGCCUCAUGAAAAGGAGAGUGUGCUGCCUUUGUGCCAGCCACUUAGAUAUUGCCGAGAGUUAGCCUCGUGAAAAAACACAAGUCCACUCCGAUCCUUGGGCGUGCGCCGCAGGGGGCUAACCUCCGACGGGUUCCGAACAGAGAAGACGGUGCGAGUGAGGGGGGAGGGACGAAUCUGAGCGACGUAGGGCUGAAUCUCAGUGGAUCGUGGCAGCAAGGCCACUCUGCCACUUACAAUACCCCGUCGCGUAUUUAAGUCGUCUGCAAAGGAUUCUACCCGCCGCUCGAUGGGAAUUACGAUUCAAGGCGGCCGCCGGCCCUUCCGCCGCGGGGGCUUGGCCUACGACACGUGCCUCUGGGGACCGGGAGGUCCCUACUGCGGGUCGGCAAACGGGCGGCGGGCGCACGCGUCGCUCUAGCCCGGAUUCUGACUUAGAGGCGUUCAGUCAUAAUCCAGC
rnacentral:lncRNA from 1 species